ACGAACGCUGGCGGCGUGCUUAACACCUGCCAGUCGCACGGAAAGGCCCUGCUUUUGUGGGGUGCUCGAGUGGCGAACGGGUGAGUAACACGUGAGUAACCUGCCCUUGACUUUGGGAUAACUUCAGGAAACUGGGGCUAAUACCGGAUAGGAGCUCCUGCUGCAUGGUGGGGGUUGGAAAGUUUCGGCGGUUGGGGAUGGACUCGCGGCUUAUCAGCUUGUUGGUGGGGUAGUGGCUUACCAAGGCUUUGACGGGUAGCCGGCCUGAGAGGGUGACCGGCCACAUUGGGACUAAGAUACGGCCCAGACUCCUACGGGAGGCAGCAGUGGGGAAUAUUGCACAAUGGGCGGAAGCCUGAUGCAGCAACGCCGCGUGCGGGAUGACGGCCUUCGUGUUGUAAACCGCUUUCGCCUGUGACGAAGCGUGAGUGACGGUAAUGGGUAAAGAAGCACCGGCCAACUACGUG
rnacentral:rRNA from 1 species